GAUGAACGCUAGCUACAGGCUUAACACAUGCAAGUCGCGGGGCAGCAUGAAUUUAGCUUGCUAAAUUCGAUGGCGACCGGCGCACGGGUGAGUAACGCGUAUCCAACCUGCCCAUCUCCACGGGAUAGCCCGUCGAAAGGCGGAUUAAUACCGUAUGAGGUCACGAGACGGCAUCAGACCGUGACGAAAGGUUUUGCGGAGAUGGAUGGGGAUGCGUCCGAUUAGCUGGUUGGC
rnacentral:rRNA from 1 species